UACGGGAGGCAGCAGUGGGGAAUAUUGCGCAAUGGGGGCAACCCUGACGCAGCCAUGCCGCGUGAAUGAAGAAGGCCUCGGUUGUAAGUACUUUCGGUAGCGAGGAAGGCAUUUAGUUUAAUAGACUGAGUGAUUGACGUUAACUACAGAAGAAGCACCGGCUAACUCCGUGCCAGCAGCCGCGGUAAU
rnacentral:rRNA from 1 species